rnacentral:rRNA from 1 species
UCUCGGGGCGCACCAGGCGCGAAACCUCUGCAAUAGGCGAAAGCCUGACAGGGUUAUUCUGAGUGAUUUCCGUUAAGGAGAUCUUUUGGCACCUCUAAAAACGGUGCAGAAAUAAGGCGUUGUCCAGAUUCUGGUGUCAGCCGGCCGCGGUAAUACCAGCACCCCGAGUGGUGUGGAUGUUUAUUGGGCCUAAAGCAUCCGUAGCCGGUUCAUCAAGUCUUCCGUUAAUUCCACCGAUUUAACAGUUGGGUUGCGGGAGAUACUAUCUAGCUAGGAGCCGGGAGAGGCAAGCGGUACUUGAUGGGUAGGGGUGAAAUCCUUUAAUCCCUUGAAGACCACCAGUGGCGAAGGCGGCUUGCCAGAACGCGCUCGACGGUGAGGGAUGAAAGCUGGGGGAGCGAACCGGAUUAGAUACCCGGGUAGUCCCAGCUGUAAACGAUGCAGACUAGGUGACGAGUUGGCUUUGUGCCAGUUCAGUGCCGCAGGGAAGCCGUUAAGUGUGCCGCCUGGGGAGUACGGUCGCAAGACGGAAACUUAAAGGAAUUGGCGG